UCCACUGUUACAGGACCUACACUGUCAGAG
rnacentral:piRNA from 1 species